GGUUAAGUCCCGCAACGAGCGCAACCCUCGACCUUAGUUGCCAGCAUUCAGUUGGGCACUCUAAGGUGACUGCCGGCUAAAAGUCGGAGGAAGGUGGGGAUGACGUCAAAUCAUCAUGCCCCUUAUGACCUGGGCUACACACGUGCUACAAUGGGCGGUACAAAGGGUCGCGAACCCGCGAGGGGGAGCCAAUCCCAAAAAGCCGCUCUCAGUUCGGAUUGCAGGCUGCAACUCGCCUGCAUGAAGCCGGAAUCGCUAGUAAUCGCGGAUCCAGCCAUGCCGCGGUGAAUACGUUCCCGGGCCUU
rnacentral:rRNA from 1 species